AUUGAACGCUGGCGGCAGGCCUAACACAUGCAAGUCGAGCGGAUGACGGGAGCUUGCUCCUUGAUUCAGCGGCGGACGGGUGAGUAAUGCCUAGGAAUCUGCCUGGUAGUGGGGGACAACGUUUCGAAAGGAACGCUAAUACCGCAUACGUCCUACGGGAGAAAGCAGGGGACCUUCGGGCCUUGCGCUAUCAGAUGAGCCUAGGUCGGAUUAGCUAGUUGGUGGGGUAAUGGCUCACCAAGGCGACGAUCCGGAACCGGUCUGAGAGGAUGAUCAGUCACACUGGAACUGAGACACGGUCCAGACUCCUACGGGAGGCAGCAGUGGGGAAUAUUGGACAAUGGGCGAAAGCCUGAUCCAGCCAUGCCGCGUGUGUGAAGAAGGUCUUCGGAUUGUAAAGCACUUUAAGUUGGGAGGAAGGGCAGUAAGCUAAUACCUUGCUGUUUUGACGUUACCGACAGAAUAAGCACCGGCUAACUCUGUGCCAGCCGCCGCCGUAAGAC
rnacentral:rRNA from 1 species